rnacentral:rRNA from 1 species
UGGGGAAUAUUGCACAAUGGGCGCAAGCCUGAUGCAGCCAUGCCGCGUGUAUGAAGAAGGCCUUCGGGUUGUAAAGUACUUUCAGUCGGGAGGAAGGUGGUAAGGUUAAUAACCUUAUCAAUUGACGUUACCGACAGAAGAAGCACCGGCUAACUCCGUGCCAGCAGCCGCGGUAAUACGGAGGGUGCAAGCGUUAAUCGGAAUUACUGGGCGUAAAGCGCACGCAGGCGGUUGAUUGAGUCAGAUGUGAAAUCCCCGGGCUUAACCCGGGAAUUGCAUCUGAUACUGGUCAGCUAGAGUCUUGUAGAGGGGGGUAGAAUUCCAUGUGUAGCGGUGAAACGCGUAGAGAUGUGGAGGAAUACCGGUGGCGAAGGCGGCCCCUGGACAAAGACUGACGCUCAGGUGCGAAAGCGUGGGGAGCAAACAGG